CCUGCGUGAAGUCGGAAUUGCUAGUAAUCGCGGAUCAGCAUGCCGCCGGUGAAUAGUUCCCGGGCCUUGUACACACCGCCCGUCCACACCAUGAGAGCUGGGAACACCCGAAGCCCGUAGCCUAACCUGCAAAGGAGGGCGCGGUCGAAGGUGGGCUUAGUAAUUGGGGUGAAGUCGUAACAAGGUAGC
rnacentral:rRNA from 1 species